CUUUCCUUCCUUCUCUUUCUUUUUCUUUCCCCUUCCUCCCCUGAUGGCGCCAGAGGGUGCAGAGGCCGGACGGGCGGUGGUGGCGGCGCGGCGGGUGCGGAGGCCGAGGCCGGACGGGCGGCGGCGGCGGCGCGGCGGGUGCGGAGGCCAGUGAGGCGCUGCGGCUGGCCGUAGGCGUCGUGGCCGGGCGACGUCGAGGACGAGGCCGUGCGGCGGCUCCGUGCGAUGUGGAGGCCGAGACGGCGUGGUGGGGCUGGCUGCGGCCUCGGAUGGAGGAGGCGGUGGCGGCGGCUGCGGUCGCUCACGAGCGCGGACCCUGCGGCAGCGGCCGCUCGAGCGCGCGGAUCCGGGUACGCGCCCCACGGCAGCGGCGCGCCCUUUCACUCCCUCUCCUUCUCAUCCCCUCCCCCUCUCUUCUGAUCCGGCGGAGGCGUCGGCGGCCCGGUUGCGGCGCCAUCCCCUCCGCCAGAUCCGGCGGCGAGAGGGGAGGCGGUGGCGGCCCGGCAGCGGGAGGCGGUGGCGGCGUGGCAGCGGGAGGCGGUGGCUGCCCGGUGGCGAGACGAUUAUUUAGAUUUUAGAUAUUCUUGUGUAAUGUUUUAGUGAAAGAUUUCUGUGAUAUUUUUAAAUGUUUCCUGUGAUAUUGUUUGAUCUGGGAUUGGGAUUGAUUUGGGAUUGAUUGA